GUGCUUGCUUCAGCCACACAUAUGUGAGAAUUGGAAUGAUACACAAAAGAUUAUCAUGGCCCCUGCACAAGUUUGACACACAAAUCCAUGAAGCAUUCUAUACUUUC
ensembl:snRNA U6 U6 spliceosomal RNA